rnacentral:rRNA from 1 species
UACGUAGGUGACGAGCGUUAUCCGGAAUUAUUGGGCGUAAAGCGCACGCAAGCGGUUCUACAAGUCUGACGUGAAAUCUCCUGGCUUAACUGGGAGCGGUCGUUGGAAACUGUAGAGCUUGAGGCGAUGAGAGGGGUGCAGAAUUCCCGGUGUAGUGGUGGAAUGCGUAGAUAUCAGGAGGAACACCGGUGGCGAAGGCGGCUUGCUGGGCCAGUUCUGACGCUGAGGAGCGAAAGCGUGGGGAGCGAACAGG